rnacentral:sRNA from 1 species
CUGAAAUAACAGUUCGCAGAUGUUGGAAUGAUGUU